AGAACCCUAAUACCCACAAACUCUAAGACCCUCAAAUUCUAAGACCCUAGAACUCUACAACCCUAAGACCUUAAAACCCUAAUAUCCUAAAACCCUAGAAUCCUAAUAUCCUAAGACCCUAAGACCCUAGAACCCUAAGAUCCUAGUACUCCAAGACCCUAGAACCCCAAGACCCUAGAACCUAUCUUCGAAGAGAACAAAGAUCAGAGUAUGUAGCAAAUAUAAUUCGCCGCAUAUUAGAUUUUCUCAAUCUAUAAUUGGUGACACCAUACACCUAGGAUUUGUUUUGGCGUAGUGUCACGGACAUACAUAUAAUUACCUAUAUGAAUAGAUAAAAGUAUGUAAAAGUAGGUUAAUUGUGUAAUAUCUUCUAGAGAAGCUUCUUAGAAGCUUCAUAGACGCUGCUUUGACUUUAUAGGAGUCUAUAGUUGACUUUUAGGUUAGAAACUUGGUCAACAAGUUAGCCAUGUGCCACGCAUGUUGGAAGCUUAAAGAACAAGCUAACUACGUGGUCCAUCCAUAGAAAACUUGCCUUGCAAGCAAAGGCAUGUGGCCUAGAAAGUCAACAUAUAUUGGAGGUCUUAUAGAACAUCGCCACGUGGCUUCUAGUUAGAUAGUAUAUAUAGAGGCAAGAGUGAAGCCCUCUUCACUCUUGUCAACUCCUUUCUUGCUUCUAGUCUAGUUUCAAGGGUCUCUAGUUUUCUUGUAUUUUGGCAAUAGCCAUUCCAGUUUCUUUCUUAAUAUACAUAUUUCUAUUUUGUCCUAUUUCUUUUUGAGAAAAGUCUCACUUACUCUUUAGCUUUCAUCGAGUUCUUGUCCUUGACACGUAGCCAAAUUUGGUAUGCAUUCCAACUCUUUACAUAGUUCUCACAUGAUAACAAAUAUAAAACUCAGAUUCCGAAUUAAGGUCCCUAAACCCUAAAACCUGAAAAAUGAAACUCAUAUUUUUGAGAAACAAAAACGUUUAUAGAUGUCUUUGAGACAAUAGAAGGCUUGGCAAAAUUUCAAACUGAAAAAAGUUGUGAUACAUUGAGAGAUAUGUAGGAUCAAAAACCUCUAAGACACUCUUGUAACCCUAAAUCCUAAACCCUAAUCCUAAACCCUCUAAAUCCUAAACCCUAGAAAUAUAUAAAAAAUAGUAUACAUAUAAUAUUUUGAAACAAAAAAGGACAUAUACGUACAUAUGCUAUUUAAUAUAUUAGUAUUAUAUCUAGGUGCCUCUAUGUAUUUAUUAUAUAUUUAAUUUCAUUUCACUUUUUUGUUUCCUCAUAUAUUAAUCAAAGACAAUUUCUUGCGAUUUUGAAAACCUCAUAACUCCUAAAUCCUAAAAACUUGCUCGAGACCCUAAGACCCUAGAACCCUAGAACCCUAAAUCCUACAACCCUAAGACCCUAAGACCCUAGAAUCCUUAACCCUAAGACCCUAGAAUCCUAGAACCCUAAGAUCCCAAGACCUUAAGACCCUAAGACCCUAAACCCUAAACCCUAAACUUUAGAAUUUAGAAUCCUAGAAUCCUAAGACCCUAAGACCCUAAGACUCUAGAAUCCUAAGAUCCUAGAACCUUAAGACCUUAGAACCCUAAUACCCACAAACUCUAAGACCCUCAAAUUCUAAGACCCUAGAACUCUACAACCCUAAGACCUUAAAACCCUAAUAUCCUAAAACCCUAGAAUCCUAAUAUCCUAAGACCCUAAGACCCUAGAACCCUAAGAUCCUAGUACUCCAAGACCCUAGAACCCCAAGACCCUAGAACCUUAAGACCCUAAGACCCUCAAAUCCUAA
rnacentral:lncRNA from 1 species